rnacentral:snRNA from 1 species
GUGCUUGCUUCAGCAGCACAUGUACUAAAAUUAGAACGAUACAGAGAAAAUUAGCAUGGCCCCUGAGCAAGGAUGACAUGCAAAUUCACGAAGCAUUCCAUAUUUUU